CCUGUUCUCUGGCACAGCAACACCGUGACAGUGUGGAUGGUAAACUCAGAUCUCCAAAGACCUUUUGUUUGGAACAAAACGAUUGUGUGGACUCAAUGAAAUCAAUUAGCAUUAUGUAUUCAUGGAGGGAGGACAGCGCUUGGCUCUGGUUAUUGAUCUCUGAAGUUCAGUCCAGAAGAGGACGGUGAUCUGUCUUGUCACAACAAUGAAAGCGUUGGGUCCUUAACUUCAUAUCCAUCACGCGCCGUCAUAACUGCGAGAUCCCACAAGCCCCGGGUCAUAUCUCUGGCUCCAGUAGUUUCCUCGCCGUGAUUCGAGCGCCCUGCGGCCCAUCAGCAUGGUUUCUCUCCAGUAUGUAGGUCACCCACAGCUGCUCCCCAAGUGUUUGUUUGGCUGUCUGUCGCCUUCCAUUACUGUUUCAUGCCGUGGGUCUCCGGGGUCAUCCACGUGGUGUGCCACUCCCCCUCGCUCACGCCGACAUGCCUCAGCAGGCACGUGGC